UACGAAGGGGGCUAGCGUUGUUCGGAAUUACUGGGCGUAAAGGGCGCGUAGGCGGUGUGUCAAGUCAGGCGUGAAAGCCCCGGGCUCAACCUGGGAACUGCAAUGGAAACUGGCGGGCUUGAGUGUGGCAGAGGGGGGUGGAAUUCCGCGUGUAGCAGUGAAAUGCGUAGAGAUGCGGAGGAACACCGAUGGCGAAGGCAGCCCCCUGGGCCAACACUGACGCUCAGGCACGAAAGCGUGGGGAGCAAACAGG
rnacentral:rRNA from 1 species